rnacentral:rRNA from 1 species
AAAUUGAAGAGUUUGAUCAUGGCUCAGAUUGAACGCUGGCGGCAGGCCUAACACAUGCAAGUCGAGCGGUAGCACAGAGAGCUUGCUCUCGGGUGACGAGCGGCGGACGGGUGAGUAAUGUCUGGGAAACUGCCUGAUGGAGGGGGAUAACUACUGGAAACGGUAGCUAAUACCGCAUAACGUCGCAAGACCAAAGUGGGGGACCUUCGGGCCUCAUGCCAUCAGAUGUGCCCAGAUGGGAUUAGCUAGUAGGUGGGGUAACGGCUCACCUAGGCGACGAUCCCUAGCUGGUCUGAGAGGAUGACCAGCCACACUGGAACUGAGACACGGUCCAGACUCCUACGGGAGGCAGCAGUGGGGAAUAUUGCACAAUGGGCGCAAGCCUGAUGCAGCCAUGCCGCGUGUGUGAAGAAGGCCUUCGGGUUGUAAAGCACUUUCAGCGGGGAGGAAGGCGUAAGGUUAAUAACCUUGGCGAUUGACGUUACCCGCAGAAGAAGCACCGGCUAACUCCGUGCCAGCAGCCGCGGUAAUACGGAGGGUGCAAGCGUUAAUCGGAAUUACUGGGCGUAAAGCGCACGCAGGCGGUCUGUCAAGUCGGAUGUGAAAUCCCCGGGCUCAACCUGGGAACUGCAUUCGAAACUGGCAGGCUAGAGUCUUGUAGAGGGGUAGAAUUCCAGGUGUAGCGGUGAAAUGCGUAGAGAUCUGGAGGAAUACCGGUGGCGAAGGCGGCCCCUGGACAAAGACUGACGCUCAGGUGCGAAAGCGUGGGGAGCAAACAGGAUUAGAUACCCUGGUAGUCCACGCCGUAAACGAUGUCGAUUUGGAGGUUGUGCCCUUGAGGCGUGGCUUCCGGAGCUAACGCGUUAAAUCGACCGCCUGGGGAGUACGGCCGCAAGGUUAAAACUCAAAUGAAUUGACGGGGGCCCGCACAAGCGGUGGAGCAUGUGGUUUAAUUCGAUGCAACGCGAAGAACCUUACCUGGUCUUGACAUCCACAGAACUUUCCAGAGAUGGAUUGGUGCCUUCGGGAACUGUGAGACAGGUGCUGCAUGGCUGUCGUCAGCUCGUGUUGUGAAAUGUUGGGUUAAGUCCCGCAACGAGCGCAACCCUUAUCCUUUGUUGCCAGCGGUUCGGCCGGGAACUCAAAGGAGACUGCCAGUGAUAAACUGGAGGAAGGUGGGGAUGACGUCAAGUCAUCAUGGCCCUUACGACCAGGGCUACACACGUGCUACAAUGGCAUAUACAAAGAGAAGCGACCUCGCGAGAGCAAGCGGACCUCAUAAAGUAUGUCGUAGUCCGGAUUGGAGUCUGCAACUCGACUCCAUGAAGUCGGAAUCGCUAGUAAUCGUAGAUCAGAAUGCUACGGUGAAUACGUUCCCGGGCCUUGUACACACCGCCCGUCACACCAUGGGAGUGGGUUGCAAAAGAAGUAGGUAGCUUAACCUUCGGGAGGGCGCUUACCACUUUGUGAUUCAUGACUGGGGUGAAGUCGUAACAAGGUAACCGUAGGGGAACCUGCGGUUGGAUCACCUCCUUACCUUAAAGAA